rnacentral:rRNA from 1 species
CCUACGGGGAGCAGCAGUGGGGGAUAUUGCACAAUGGGGGGAACCCUGAUGCAGCGACGCCGCGUGGGUGAAGAAGCGCCUCGGCGCGUAAAGCCCUGUCAGCAGGGAAGAAAAUGACGGUACCUGAAGAAGAAGCCCCGGCUAACUACGUGCCAGCAGCCGCGGUAAUACGUAGGGGGCAAGCGUUAUCCGGAUUUACUGGGUGGAAAGGGGGCGCAGACGGCGAUGCAAGCCAGGAGUGAAAGCCCGGGGCCCAACCCCGGGACUGCUCUUGGAACUGCGUGGCUGGAGUGCAGGAGGGGCAGGCGGAAUUCCUGGUGUAGCGGUGAAAUGCGUAGAUAUCAGGAGGAACACCGGUGGUGAAGGCGGCCUGCUGGACUGCAACUGACGUUGAGGCCCGAAAGCGUGGGGAGCAAACAGGAUUAGAUACCCCAGUAGUC